rnacentral:rRNA from 1 species
GAUGAACGCUGGCGGCGUGCCUAAUACAUGCAAGUCGAGCGAACAGACGAGGAGCUUGCUCCUCUGCCGUUAGCGGCGGACGGGUGAGUAACACGUGGAUAACCUACCUAUAAUACUGGGAUAACUUCGGGAAACCGGAGCUAAUACCGGCUCAUAUAUUGAACCGCAUGGUUCAAUAGUUAAAGACGCUUUUCCUGUCACUUAUAGCUGGAUCCGCGUUGGAUUAGCUAGUUGGUAAGGUAACGGCUAACCAAGGCAACGAUGCGUAGCCGAUCUGAGAGGAUGAUCGGCCACACUGGAACUGAGACACGGUCCAGACUCCUACGGGAGGCAGCAGUGGGGAAUAUUGGACAAUGGGAGAAAGCCUGAUGGAGAAAUACCGCGUGGGUGAAGAAGGUCUUCGGGUCGUAAAACCCUGUUGUUGGGAAAGAAAAGAUGUAGAAGAAAAAAUGGAUGUGUUGACGGUACCAAAAGAAAAAGCACCGGCUAACUUCGUG